rnacentral:rRNA from 1 species
UACGUAGGGUGCAAGCGUUAAUCGGAAUUACUGGGCGUAAAGCGUGCGCAGGCGGUUUUGUAAGUCUGUCGUGAAAUCCCCGGGCUCAACCUGGGAAUUGCGAUGGAGACUGCAAGGCUAGAAUCUGGCAGAGGGGGGUAGAAUUCCACGUGUAGCAGUGAAAUGCGUAGAGAUGUGGAGGAACACCGAUGGCGAAGGCAGUCCCCUGGGCCUGUACUGACGCUCAUGCACGAAAGCGUGGGGAGCAAACAGG